UGCAAGCAUAUGAUUGAUUUUUUUCUAAAUUUCUAUUACUACAAUAAUGAGUAAACUACUACUUUUAACGUUUGUGAUAUGGUUUUGUUGCUCAUUGCAAUUAUGUGAUUCUGGUUUGAUUAAAAUUAAGGAGGAAAAUAUUCAUGCGGUUUCAAGGCAUCAUGCAGAAACAAGACAUUUGAGAUGUAAAAAGGUUAGAUCCAUCAAAGUAUCUACGGUAAAGGAUUCUACACCCACAGAAGAUGAGGGACGUAAUGACACAGUUGCGCUUGCAGAUACAUAUCUUCAUACAUCUCAAUCAACUGAAUCACUUGCAUCUAAUAGUACAAUUUUUGAGGUAUCUGUAAUAGAUGACAAUAUAUCAAAUUGUUGUGCUAUAGUGGGAUGUCGGACACGUGAUGAUGCAAAUGUCAAUUAUUUUAUUCAAAAAGUGACUUGCGAAUGUAACAGUGAUGGAUUUUGCCACUAUACCAUGAUUUCAGCAAUUUCAUUUAAAAUACCUACCUGUAAAUCUGACGAAAUACUUGUUUAUGGAGCAUGUCGGCCAAAACAUUGAGGAAUACUUUUGUUAGACUGUCUUUUAAAUGUAUUCCGAUAUGAUCAAUAACAACUACUAAAUGCAAUAUUAAAAAAACUUGUGGUUUCAAGAAAUAAAAGGUUUUUAGAAAUUAGCUGAUGAAUGAUAAAAAUUCUGAAUUUCCAGACAAGCAUUGCCCUUAAAUAAACAACACACUUUACAUAUUUGGGUGCUGUACUUUCUAUAUGGGACAUGCUUUAUUAUCAAAGAAACACAAUACAUGUGUUAUCAGAGGAAAAUAUUUUAUCGUAUGCUCAAGAGCUGUAGAUUGAAAAAUAGUAGAUUAUAUAAAUUGGAAAGAUAUGCAAUGAAAUUUAAAGUAUGUAUGACAAAAUUUUUCAACCAAUUUAAUUGAGUUAUCAAAACUUAAAUUAUCAUGUAUCUUAUUAUGAAGUCACAAAAUAUAUAUAAAUAAAGGGGCUCUGCAUAAAAUAAAUACCAUCUAAUUUACAUUACGAAUUAUAAGAGUAUGCAAUUUUAUUGUCGUAAUUUUAGCAUUUUUUCGUUGAACUAUACGUCUAAAGAUACUUAUUAUUUAUUUAUAUCUAUAAUAAAGAUAGUAUAAAAAUAAUACUGAGAAAAUAAAGUAAGCAUUUUUAAUACGUUAUGAGGAUUUGACUUUGAUGAUUAGCAAAACCACAAAAAGGUCAUUUACGCAAAAAUUCUCUGAAAUUGUAAGAAAAAUUGCCAAGCUCAGGAAAAAGAAAAUGUUAAUAGGCACUAAAUUACAUAAAUCUCGUCAGGUAUUAAUUAUGUGUCGUAUGUACUAUGAAUUAUGAAUCAUUACUCGCAAAGUAGAGUCUACUCGUAUCAAGAGGACAUAGAAAUUCUACUUCAUCAGUAUAUCUAAAAUAUUAGCAGCCUACGUAUGAAUCUAGUAGAUAUUAUUUUAAAUUCAUUUUAUUACAACGUUUAGUAAACUUACGACUGCAAUAUUUAUUCCAAGCCUAAUAUGGUGCUUGUGUUUAACGCAACUAUAUGACGCAAGCGUUACAAGAAAAGAUUACAACUUCUCACGAGAUCCCCUGAAAGGUCAAGAUAAAGUUGAAGUACCCGUCGACUCUUAUUUUAGAUACAAUGCUAGCGAAGAUUAUUUAUACGAAAUAGAAGAAAAAUCAGCAGAUGGUGGAUAUAAAAAAAAAGCUGUUGAAUUUACCAUCGAAAAUAAAGAUUACAACACAAUAAUGGCUGCUGAUAGUAUCCAGACUACUAUCGAAUUGAACGAUAACUUAUUGAUAAAUAGAAAAAGUUCUGAAAAAAUCAGUUCAUCACCUUCAUUUAUUACGGUUUAUCAGGAAACACCAUCUAGUUGUUGCUCUAAAGCUGGAUGUGGAAUACGUAAAAAUAAAACAUCAAAAUUAUCUCAUGAACGGGCGUAUGCAUUAAUACGCUGUGAAUGUGGAAAUGAUGGACUUUGCAUUUGGUCCACCGAACAGCCGUCGAUGAUAUUAGCAUCGCCUCGCUGUGAAUCAGAUGAAAUAUUUGUUCACAAUGAAUGUCGACCUAAAGAUUAAUUAUUUUAAAUCAUAACAUAUUCCUCGUUAAAUUUUACAUUUUUGCUGUUUUGUAACUAUGAUAUGACUUUUUAGAACGAAUUUUGUUUUUUCGUACCUAUUGUAUAUAACUUUGGCUCAGCUGUUUACAUGUUUCAAGACAAACAUUAAUGUACAAAUUGAGUUUUUUUAAAAAUAAAAGUAACUACAUGAUAAUUUCACCAAAAUCCCAUUGAUCCCUUCAAAAAUAUUUAUCAAGUAGAAGUACCUGCGAUAUUAUCAUUUUAUUACACUCUGGUAAAGUCUCUUUGGAUAAUGGGACUCAAGUUUUUACUUUUUUCUUUUGUUGACGGCCAUCCAGAUAUUUUUAUCUUUUGUUAUAUAAAUAAUUAAUAUA